rnacentral:rRNA from 1 species
UACGUAGGUGGCAAGCGUUGUCCGGAAUUAUUGGGCGUGAAGCGCGCGCAGGCGGUCCUUUAAGUCUGAUGUGAAAGCCCACGGCUCAACCGUGGAGGGUCAUUGGAAACUGGGGGACUUGAGUACAGAAGAGAAGAGUGGAAUUCCCGGUGUAGCAGUGAAAUGCGUAGAUAUCGGGAGGAAUACCGAUGGCGAAGGCAGGUCUCUGGGCUGACACUGACGCUCAUGCACGAAAGCGUGGGGAGCAAACAGG